rnacentral:misc_RNA from 1 species
AAGCAAAGUACAACAGCUGGUUCAACUAUUCGAUCCAGUUGUUCGAGCCGUUGACGGAACAGCUGGAGAGGCAGUAUCGAUGCGAGUAGAUUUAGAAUGCUCAGAUGGACACAACAGAAUUGGCAUAUUUAGUCAUAAAAGACUUUCUAGAUCAGUGGGAAUUUCAACAGCUGCAUUUGUCCUUGCUAUGCUUGAGGGAAGCACAAAACCUGGUGUCUGGUUUCCUGAAGAGCCCGAAGGAAUUGCUGUUGAAGCAAGGGAAGU